CCCACCCCUGACUGACUUUUCAACGAACUCCUUGGUGGUGACUUCAACCGUCACUUUUCUGUCAUGCAUCUGACUGCAAGCUGUACAAACUCUGCCGUCAUCAUAUCCAAGGCAGUGAGUUCUGAGGACUGCUUCCCUGAGAACACUGAGUGCAUUCUGGAAUAUUCCAAAUGUGUGCCACUUCCAUACAAAAGAAGUUUCAAUCCCGCAAGAGAGUUCACUCACCAGUGGGCUCCAUCAACAGACCAGGGCAAAGUCGGUCUGUCCUGCUACUACUACAUGCUACUUGACUAUGUCUGGAAGCCAUGGCUGCUGCCCUCAACAUGCUAAACUGAAACCCUGACAAAUAAACUGAUACCAAUAAUUAACAUUGAUGGUGAUGGUGGCAAGGAUGCCUUCAUAAGGUGCCAUCCAGCAAGUCCCAGCCUGGAGCCAGAGGCUGGCACUGCACGUCAGAUGGGGGAGGAUCUAUGCAUCAGAAAGGUGGUUGAAGCAAGAAGGAAAGAGCUUCUGCAGACAGUGUUGCAAUUAGACACCUGACUUUUACUGCCAAAGGGACCAUCAGAGCACCUCUCCCUACCAUCUAUACCAGAAGAGUACGGACAAGGGCCCAAAAUGUUUUAAAGGACGUUGCACGCCCAGACCAUGGACUGUUUAAACCACUGUGGUCAAGCAGACGUCUCUGUUCUCACUCGAGGCAGGUCAUUGAAAGGGGGCGAGUGUCACUGCGUAAGCCCCCUACUGCAGGCGAGAAAGCCAUGUUGAUUUGAAUAUUGAUUGAUAAAUACAAUAAAGGCCAUGUAACAAAUUG